GACGAACGCUGGCGGCGUGCCUAAUACAUGCAAGUUGAGCGCUGAAGGUUGGUACUUGUACCAACUGGAUGAGCAGCGAACGGGUGAGUAACGCGUGGGGAGUCUGCCUUUGAGCGGGGGACAACAUUUGGAAACGAAUGCUAAUACCGCAUAAAAACUUUAAACACAAGUUUUAAGUUUGAAAGAUGCAAUUGCAUCACUCAAAGAUGAUCCCGCGUUGUAUUAGCUAGUUGGUGAGGUAAAGGCUCACCAAGGCGAUGAUACAUAGCCGACCUGAAAGGGUGAUCGGCCACAUUGGGAAUGAGACACGGCCCAAACUCCUACGGGAGGCAGCAGUAGGGAAUCUUCGGCAAUGGACGAAAGUCUGACCGAGCAACGCCGCGUGAGUGAAGAAGGUUUUCGGAUCGUAAAACUCUGUUGGUAGAGAAGAACGUUGGUGAGAGUGGAAAGCUCAUCAAGUGACGGUAACUACCCAGAAAGGGACGGCUAACUACGUG
rnacentral:rRNA from 1 species